GAUGAACGCUGGCGGCGUGCCUAAUACAUGCAAGUCGAGCGAACAGACGAGGAGCUUGCUCCUCUGACGUUAGCGGCGGACGGGUGAGUAACACGUGUAUAACCUACCUAUAAGACUGGGAUAACUUCGGGAAACCGGAGCUAAUACCGGAUAAUAUAUUGAACCGCAUGGUUCAUUAGUGAAAGACGGUUUUGCUGUCACUUAUAGAUGUAUCCGCGCCGCAUUAGCUAGUUGGUAAGGUAACGGCUUACCAAGGCAACGAUGCGUAGCCGACCUGAGAGGGUGAUCGGACACACUGGAACUGAGACACGGUACAGACUCCUACGGGAGGCAGCAGUAGGGAAUCUUCCGCAAUGGGCGAAAGCUUGACGGAGCAACGCCGAGUGAGUGAUGAAGGUCUUAGGAUCGUAAAACUCUGUUAUUAGGGAAGAACAAAUGUGUAAGUAACUAUGCACGUAUUGACGGUACCUAAUCAGAAAGCAACGGCUAACUACGUG
rnacentral:rRNA from 1 species